ensembl:snoRNA
CUCUUCUGUGUGUGUGUUUGUUUAAUAUGAACAAAGCUUUACAGACAGAUGCAAAUAGUAAAUCCUCUUUUGCAACUCAGAUCUCAUUAUUGAGUAUGACUUUUGGUACAAUAAGAAGUAAUAUG